UAAGAAAAAGCGAGACAGAGGCGCUGCCGCGUCCGCUCGCGGGGAAGGCUGGGGAGGGAGGGGAGGGGAGAAAGAAGUGCCGGCUCCGUCGGCUCCGCCCUCGCGGACCGAUUCCUAGAGCCGCUCACUCGCUGUAAACAACACUGAGCUGAUCUUUCCCCCCUCCCCUUUUUUCUUUUCCGUGGCCUUCACCGUCCAACGAGCGUACAGGGGAGUCCGGCAAGAAGCUGGGCUGUUGGAGACGGGCCGGAAGUCUUUAGUACUGCGGUCGGGAAGGGAAGACAUUGCCUACAGGCCAAGUAAACUCAAAGGUGCGCGGUCUCGUUUCCCUGGGAGAAGCGGAAGGGCACACCGUCCGCUCACGGUGACGUAAGCGCCGUCCGCUAGCUGGCAGAGGCGUGCGGUGGCCGGAGAGUGCGCUGCGCAUGCGCCCCGGGGAAGAAAGAAGCAGCUGAGCGCUCCCCUCGGGGGUGGGGCUUGUCCGGAUGCUCCUGUGCCACCGCGAAGCUGCCUGAUGUUAUCCAACCUGAUGAGUGUCUUGGGCUUGUCCUGGAAGAGUGAACUUGAUCUGCUUGACAGCUGUGGAAAGAAUUUCAUCUCCAUUCUCUGCCUGAUUGCCCUGGCACAGCUGCCCCGCUGGCAUUCUUCAGAUGGGUAAUGACCUUGGGAGCUGGCUUCGUUUCUGGGCGUGACAACAGCUCCCUGC